rnacentral:tRNA from 1 species
GGACCCGUCGCCUAGCCUGGAUAGGGCACAACCCUCCUAAGGUUGGUCUCGGGGGUUCAAAGGCCAGUUACACUAGGCGAGUCGUACUCAAGUAGGGUAUUCCUACGGAAACCCUACGACAAUGCCAAAAAGUGUAAUUGCUUGAAAGUCCCCUCGGGUCCG